rnacentral:lncRNA from 1 species
ACGAACAUACUCAAAAUACUGUUGAUUGCUCCUAUCUAGCAUCGGAUCGACAACAUCUUCCGGUCGAACUGGCCUGCAACCCGGAAUUUCGAGAUUCUCUUUUUGAUCAACAAACUCUCCUUCUACCACCUGAUCAAGAAAAGGUAAAUAUAUUGUAAGAGCUAAAAACCAUGCAUUAUUAGGCAUAUAAACGUAUUUUGGAAUCCCAAGUUCUUUAGGGAUCUCUAAAGACUCAGUUCCAGACAGGUCGAUGAUUAUGGCGGCGGGACCAAAAUUCAGAGCAGAUAAAGCUGAACGGAAAGCUGGUCGGAUUUCACGCAUCAUAACAGAAAUUUGGGUAACGAUGGCGGCUUCUGGUUGGAUGAGACUGGAAAUGUCAACCGGAGGG